AGAGUUUGAUCAUGGCUCAGGAUGAACGCUAGCUACAGGCUUAACACAUGCAAGUCGAAGGGGAAACGAUAUUGGAAGCUGCUUCCGAUAGGCGUCGACCGGCGUACGGGUGAGUAACGCGGUAUCCAACCUGCCCACCACUUGGGGAUAACCUUGCGAAAGUAAGACUAAUACCCAAUGACGUCUCUAGAAGACAUCUGAAAGAGAUUAAAGAUUUAUCGGUGAUGGAUGGGGAUGCGUCUGAUUAGCUUGUUGGCGGGGUAACGGCCCACCAAGGCGACGAUCAGGUAGGGUUCUGAGAGGAAGGCCCCCACAUUGGAACUGAGACACGGUCCAAACUCCUACGGCAGGCAGCA
rnacentral:rRNA from 1 species